rnacentral:rRNA from 1 species
AUUGAACGCUGGCGGAAUGCUUUACACAUGCAAGUCGAACGGUAGAGGGGGCAACCUCUCGAGAGUGGCGAACGGGUGAGUAAUAUAUCGGAACGUGCCUAGUCGUGGGGGAUAACGUAGCGAAAGUUACGCUAAUACCGCAUACGAUCUACGGAUGAAAGCGGGGGAUCGCAAGACCUCGCGCGAUUGGAGCGGCCGAUAUCAGAUUAGGUAGUUGGUGGGGUAAAGGCUCACCAAGCCAACGAUCUGUAGCUGGUCUGAGAGGACGACCAGCCACACUGGAACUGAGACACGGUCCAGACUCCUACGGGAGGCAGCAGUGGGGAAUUUUGGACAAUGGACGCAAGUCUGAUCCAGCCAUUCCGCGUGCAGGAUGAAGGCCCUCGGGUUGUAAACUGCUUUUGUACGGAACGAAAAGGUUUCCAUUAAUACUGGGAGCUCAUGACGGUACCGUAAGAAUAAGCACCGGCUAACUACGUGCCAGCAGCCGCAGUAA